AAAGCCUGUGGAGUUUCUAAAUACAGCAAGAGACACACUGGGUUAAAGUUGUGUGCAAAGUCACCGAUUGGAACCAAAGGUUCUACUAUGUGUCGUGCUCAAAAUGUAUAAAGGCAACAACAGCUCAAAGUGAUGCUCCUUUCUGGUGCAACUAUUGCAAAGAAAAAGUCCAUCCAAUGCCAAGAUGCAGGUUCCAAAUACAAUUGAGCGAUUCCAUAGGAUUCAUCAUUGCUACAACAUUUGGAGAAUAAGCUGACUCAAUGUUCUCAAUCACUAGAGAUUACUUAAAGAACAACAUGCAAGAGGGCAUUCUAUCAACCGCAGCUAGGGAAAAAUUGGCAACAAGAAUAGAAUACGCUGUCCAUUUGCGAGCUUACAAAUAUGCACCAAGAGAUGUUGAACUCUGCCUCUUCAGCAUCCACACGUUUGCUGCUGUAACUGAAAUCAUAGACGACCAAGAUGACUUCUAGCUUCUCCUAGCACAAGCACCAUCCCCAAAAAAACGUCUGGAUGAAAUCAAAGGUCAAACCUUUGCACCAAUACCA